CAUGCAAGUCGAGCGGGCAUAGCAAUAUGUCAGCGGCAGACGGGUGAGUAACGCGUGGGAACGUACCUUUUGGUUCGGAACAACUGAGGGAAACUUCAGCUAAUACCGGAUAAGCCCUUACGGGGAAAGAUUUAUCGCCGAAAGAUCGGCCCGCGUCUGAUUAGCUAGUUGGUGAGGUAAUGGCUCACCAAGGCGACGAUCAGUAGCUGGUCUGAGAGGAUGAUCAGCCACAUUGGGACUGAGACACGGCCCAAACUCCUACGGGAGGCAGCAGUGGGGAAUAUUGGACAAUGGGCGCAAGCCUGAUCCAGCCAUGCCGCGUGAGUGAUGAAGGCCCUAGGGUUGUAAAGCUCUUUUGUGCGGGAAGAUAAUGACGGUACCGCAAGAAUAAGCCCCGGCUAAC
rnacentral:rRNA from 1 species